rfam:Trichinella papuae scaffold39s, whole genome shotgun sequence.
AUCGCUUCAAGGCUUUUAUAAAAAGCUAAGAUCAAAGUGUAGUAUCUGUUCUUAUCAGCUUAAUUUCUGGUAUGAAUCCCAAG